UCGUAAGAUACAUAAACAUUAGACUGACAAAGUCAGUUGUUUAUCGUAGAAACAUCCAUCGGAAAAAUAGUGCCAAUGGAUCAGAUCAGUGGCCAAGUCAUCAAAAUCUUUUUUUUUCCCGUUCUUUUUUAAAGAUACGUAUUUUGGUUGUUUCUUAUCAAAAUUGCACAAAGAUAAAUGCGGUAUAUAUUCUUGAAUAAUUUCUUUGGAAUAUUAUAAUUUACCUCCAAGCUGUGUAAUUUAUUCGUAACUUUCGUAUCUUCAUUUGGCCAAUAAUACUUAUCUUUUCUUCUUUUUCUAUAUAUAUAUAUGUAUAUAACAAUUUUUUUUAAUUAUAUGUAUAUAUAUAUAUAUAUAUAUAUGUAAAACAUUAAGUGUUAUAUAUACUAUUAUUAUUACCUAUUCUAUCCAAAUGUUUUCAGGUGUAGGGAAAACUUAAUCGUUAACCUUAUAGUUUAUUAUUCUUGGACGGUAUCUGUUUGAUAUUUGCACAAUAUAUUAACAAUUAUUAUUUUGUCAACUUGAUAAAAAAAUACACAAAAUACUGAUAUAUUAUAAUAUUAGGACACACUGGAGCCCUGCCCAGGUCAAAGUCGAUUGCAACAAAAUAUAUAUAUAUAUUUAUUUAUUUAUAUAAUUUUACGUAUAAUUAUUUUCAUAAAGGGUAAGUCAGUGUUUAUUGUUUUCUUCCAUUAGUUUACACAGGACACAUAUGUACAAUCUAUUAUACUCUGAAAAUAUCAAAGUCUUCUUCAAACUAGAAAGAUAAUCAAAGAUAAUUUUAUAUUAUUUAUUUGUCAACGUAAUAUAUAAUAGAAACAUAAAAGUAAACUAUUUUUCAAUAAAGCAACCAUUUUAAUUUAUAUGAGAAUUGUAAUCACAGAUAAUGCAGAAGAAAAACUGCACACUGACAAACCCAUUAUAUUAUUAUAUUCUAAGAAAAUGUACAAUAUAACAUUGAUGUGGCCGACCAAAUAUUCUGAGAGAAAUGAUACUUAAAAAUUAACAUUUAUUUAUGUUAUGUAAUUAAUUAAUUCGUAUAACUUUUAUAUAUAUAUAAUUAAUAAUGCUUAACACAGAGUUCAUCGUCUUUAACAAAUACAGGAUAUCUUUGUUUGAGCUUGUAAAAGUCCAUUUACCAUAUAAAAUAACAAUCUGCCAUGUCGCAUAUUCAUAGUUGGCCACUUUUCAGUAUAAAAUUUCCUAUUUCUUUGC